rnacentral:rRNA from 1 species
GACAGAGGAGCCAAGCGUUGUCCGGAUUGACUGGGCGUAAAGCGCACGCAGGCGGAUGCGCGCGUGGGGUGUGAAAUCUGGCCGCUUAACGGCCAGGCGCCAUCCCAUACGGCGCGUCUGGAGUGAUGCAGAGGUCGAUGGAAUUGCCAGUGUAGUGGUGAAAUGCGUAGAGAUCGGCAGGAACACCCAGGGGGAAACCAGUCGACUGGGCAUCUACUGACGCUGAGGUGCGAGAGCGUGGGGAGCGAACCGG